rnacentral:rRNA from 1 species
GGGCGUAAAGAGCUCGUAGGCGGUUUGUCGCGUCUGCCGUGAAAGUCCGGGGCUUAACUCCGGAUCUGCGGUGGGUACGGGCAGACUUGAGUGAUGUAGGGGAGACUGGAAUUCCUGGUGUAGCGGUGAAAUGCGCAGAUAUCAGGAGGAACACCGAUGGCGAAGGCAGGUCUCUGGGCAUUAACUGACGCUGAGGAGCGAAAGCAUGGGGAGCGAACAGGAUUAGAUACCCUGGUAGUCCAUGCCGUAAACGUUGGGCACUAGGUGUGGGGGACAUUCCACGUUUUCCGCGCCGUAGCUAACGCAUUAAGUGCCCCGCCUGGGGAGUACGGCCGCAAGGCUAAAACUCAAAGGAAUUGACGGGGGCCCGCACAAGCGGCGGAGCAUGCGGAUUAAUUCGAUGCAACGCGAAGAACCUUACCAAGGCUUGACAUGAACCGGAACGGCGCAGAGAUGUGUCGGCCACUUGUGGCCGGUUUACAGGUGGUGCAUGGUUGUCGUCAGCUCGUGUCGUGAGAUGUUGGGUUAAGUCCCGCAACGAGCGCAACCCUCGUUCCAUGUUGCCAGCGGGUUAUGCCGGGGACUCAUGGGAGACUGCCGGGGUCAACUCGGAGGAAGGUGGGGACGACGUCAAAUCAUCAUGCCCCUUAUGUCUUGGGCUUCACGCAUGCUACAAUGGCCGGUACAAAGGGUUGCGAUGCUGUGAGGUGGAGCUAAUCCCAAAAAGCCGGUCUCAGUUCGGAUUGAGGUCUGCAACUCGACCUCAUGAAGUCGGAGUCGCUAGUAAUCGCAGAUCAGCAACGCUGCGGUGAAUACGUUCCCGGGCCUUGUACACACCGCCCGUCAAGUCACGAAAGUUGGUAACACCCGAAGCCGGUGGCCUAACCCCUUGGGGAGGGAGCCUCGAAGG